GACCAUGUUACAAAUCAUGUUUUCCUGACGAGACAUUGAUCCAGUUUAUUACCUUGUUACAUUAUUGUGUUCAAUUGCAUUUUUUUUUACAACCAAAUAUUUUUGGUAUUGGUUUAAGCAUAUUGCCUAUGAUGUAUCACAAAAAACAUUGUUUUAAUGUACUUUUUUUCAGAGGAGAUAAUAAAAGUUUGGUUAUUUUAUGUGAUCCAUGUAAGGUCUAUGUUAUACAAUAUUUCAUCUGCAAUUCUAGGAACAUUUUCAAGUGGGGGCUUCAUGUAGUUAUGUUGGAGAUAGCAAACUUUCAUUCUUUCACAGAUUUUUCUUCUUGAAAACUUUAAAUCAACAGAGAAUUUAUUUUUAUGUAAUUGUACCAUUUGAAUUGAAACUCAAGGCUGGUGGUCUCUGUACUUGACAAAAUAGUAGAUUUUUGCUACACUUGUCUCAUUUUAUUGACAUCAGGGAGAAAUUGUCUGGUGACAGUACAUUAACAUAUACAAGUAUUUAGUUAGGUUUAUUCCAUUUUAGGGAAAAUCUGCUGAUGUCUCCCAUUAAUGACUUAUGAUCUUGAUAAAUACAAAAUUUAUAAUAAAUUGUUCAGGUGAAUCCUAUAUCAUUCAUUUCAGUGCAUGUGUAUUGUUGUGUACUUGAUAUAGUGAUGCUAUAAUUGUACCAUUUAUUUUGCACAAGACUGUAUUUUACCUGUAAUUUUUUUAUUGAUUCGCACAAAUCCACGCAAUAUGCAAUAUUUAAAAGCAUGGAUUUUGCUCAUUGAAAUUUUAAGCAUUUACCAGGUAUCUAUGUCAUCUUAUUAAUUGUUAUGAAAUAAAAUAAACUUCAUUAAGCUU
rnacentral:misc_RNA from 1 species